rnacentral:rRNA from 1 species
GUGCCAGCAGCCGCGGUAAGACGAGGGGUGCGAGCGUUAUUCGGAAUUAUUGGGCGUAAAGGGUGCGUAGACGGCAUACUAAGUCCGUUGUUAAAUCUCCCGGCUUAACCGGGAAUCAGCGAUGGAUACUGAUAUGCUAGAGGGUGGAAGAGAGAAGUGGAAUUCUCGGAGUAGCGGUAAAAUGCGUAGAUCUCGAGAGGAACACCAAUGGCGAAGGCAGCUUCUUAGUCCAUUUCUGACGUUGAGGCACGAAAGCGUGGGGAGCAAACAGGAUUAGAUACCCUAGUAGUCC